rnacentral:lncRNA from 1 species
AUAAGCUUCACCACUCGCUCAACCUUCACCAAUUACCAGUCCCUGGGCUCUGUCCAGGUGCCUGGCCAGUCAGCAGCACAGCCAUCAUCUAUGCAGGCAUGGGGGGUUCUGGUUCCAGGAUCUCCGUGUCCUGCUUCACCAGCUUCAAGGCCCAUGGGGUUCAGGGGCCUGGCUGCGGGGAUAGCCAGGGGUCUGACAGGAAUGGGAGGCAUCCAGAACGAGAAGACCAUGCAGACCCUGAACUACUGCCUGGCCUCCUACCUGGACAGAGUGAGGAGCCUGAGGACCAAGAACCGGAAGGUGGAGAGCAAAAUCUGGGAGCACCUGGAGAAGAUGGGACCUCAGGUCAGAGACAAGCCAUUACUUCAAGACCAUCAAGGACCUGAGGGCUCAGAUCUUCACAAAUACUGUGGACAAUGCCCACAUCGUUCUGCAGAUCGACAGUUCCAUCUUGCUGCUGAUGACUUUAGACCCAAGUGUGAGACAGAGCUGGCCAUGUGCCAGUCUGUGGAGAGCAACAUCCAUGGCUUUGCAAAGUCAUUGAUGACACCAAUGUCACUCGGCUGCGGUUGGAGACAGAGAUCAAGGUUCUCAGGGAGGAGCUGCUCUUUAUGAAGAAGAACCACAAAGAGGAAGUAAAAGGACUACAAGCCAAGGUCGACAGCUCUGGGUUGACCAGGGAGGUAGUUGCCCCCAAAGCUCAGGACCUUGCCAAGAUCAUGGCAGACAUCCAGGCCCAAUACGACGAGGUAGCUCAGAAGAACCGAGAGGAGCUGGACAAGUACCAGUCUCAGCAGAUUGAGGAGAGUAUAUAGUGGUCACCACGCAGUCCACCAAGGUUGUAGCUGCUGAGAUGAUGCUCACAGAGCUUAGAUGUACAGUCCAGUCCUUGAAGAUCGACCUGGACUCAAUGAGAAAUCUGAAGGCCAGCUUGGAGAACAGCCUGAGGGAGGUGGAGGCAUGUUAAGCCCUGCAGAUGGAGCAGAUCAACAGGAUCCUGCUGCACCUGGAGUCAGAGCUGGUACAGACCCUGGCAGAGGGGCAGUACCAGGCCCAGGAGUACAAGGCCCCGCUGAACAUCAAAGUCAAGCAGGAGGCUGAGAUCGCCACCUACCACCGCCUGCUGGAAGAUGGCGAGGACUUCAAUCUUGGUGAUGUCCUGGACAGCAGCAACUCCAAGCAAACCAUCCAAAAGACCACAACCCGCCAGAUGGUGGAUGGCAAAAUGGUGUCUGAGACCAACAACACCAAAGUUCUCAGACAUUAA